CCUUGCUACCUCACAGCCUGGGACAGUUCCACCUUCUUGCCUCUUCGGACCAGGUCCUGUGGCCAUGAAGUCAUUUCCUGCCUCAGUGUCAGUGAAUCGGGUACCUUCCUAGGCCUAGGCACGGUCACUGGCUCUGUCGCCAUCUACAUAGCUUUCUCUCUCCAGCGCCUGUAUUAUGUGAAGGAGGCCCAUGGCAUUGUGGUGACAGAUGUGACCUUUCUACCUGAGAAGGGUUGUGGGCCAAAGCUUCUUGGGCCCCAUGAAACUGCUCUUUUCUCUGUGGCUGUGGAUAGUCGUUGCCAGUUGCACCUGCUGCCCUCACGGCGGAGUGUUCCUAUAUGGCUCCUGCUCGUGCUGUGUGUCGGCCUUAUUAUUGUAACCAUCCUGCUGCUCCAGAGUGCCUUCCCAGGUUUUCUUUAACCUCCUGACCGAUGGGAAUCAGCCUUGGACAGUGCCACCUUCCAGAGCAGAAUCAUGGAGCCCAACGGCUGAAGCUGCUUCUGAUGCGACUGAUGGGUACCGCUGGUCCCUCAGCCAAAACUUGCCGGUGGCCUCCCCAUCACUCUGGGUCUUGGGAGCCCUGCUUUCACCUGUGGACCCAUUUAGGACAGUGUGGUCUGAAGCUCAGGCCACACUGCCUGCCUUGUUCCCUCUGCCUCCCACGGCUCCAGAGUUGAGCUCUUCUUUUACUAGAAAUAUGUGAAGAUGCCCAAGAGCCUGGAGGCAUGGCCAUCCUUCUUAAAGAAACUGUGCCUCCCCUUCCGGCCUUCACACAAGGUCCUCAGCUCUGUUGAGACAGAGUCUGCACUGGCACUUGCUGUUAAGGCAGGAAGAGGCCCAAGGAAGACGCAGGUAGCGGUGAUCUGUGGCUCCUGUGGGUAGCACCAAGCCAGUCAGGCCAGAUACACAGUGAGUUCCUGAAUGGUCUACUGCAGCCUGAGGAAAGGGAAAGGGAACCUUGGCUUGCUAGGCAGAAAGAGUUGAUAUUUAAUAAAGAGAGAAAGAUUGGACCGAGACCCCAGCAGUCCUCUUGUCAGCUCUUUCCAUCUCCAGGAGUGAGUGUUCCCAGGUCAGGCAGCUCUACCGAGUGCUGGAAGAUGGCUCGGGCAUACUGAUGUAGCACUCGGUUCAUGUAACAGUGUUGCCAGGGCAGCAGCCCUUCCAGGAAGCUG